AACGCACGAGACCUGCGGACCUGCGGAGGGAUCAUUGUCGAGUCUUGACUGGGUUGUAGCUGGCCUUACGAGGCAUGUGCACGCCCUGUUAAUCCACUCUACACCUGUGCACUUACUGUGGGUUUCAGAUCGUGAAUUGGGCCUACGGGCUCGUGAUACGCAUCUGUGCCUGCGUUUAUUACAAACACUAUAAAGUAUCAGAAUGUGUGGGUUGCGAUGUAACACAUCUAUAUACAACUU
rnacentral:misc_RNA from 1 species